GAUGAACGCUGGCGGCGUGCCUAAUACAUGCAAGUCGAGCGAACAGAUAAGGAGCUUGCUCCUUUGACGUUAGCGGCGGACGGGUGAGUAACACGUGGGUAACCUACCUAUAAGACUGGAAUAACUCCGGGAAACCGGGGCUAAUGCCGGAUAACAUUUAGAACCGCAUGGUUCUAAAGUGAAAGAUGGUUUUGCUAUCACUUAUAGAUGGACCCGCGCCGUAUUAGCUAGUUGGUAAGGUAACGGCUUACCAAGGCAACGAUACGUAGCCGACCUGAGAGGGUGAGCGGCCACACUGGAACUGAGACACGGUCCAGACUCCUACGGGAGGCAGCAGUAGGGAAUCUUCCGCAAUGGGCGAAAGCCUGACGGAGCAACGCCGCGUGAGUGAUGAAGGUCUUCGGAUCGUAAAACUCUGUUAUUAGGGAAGAACAAAUGUGUAAGUAACUGUGCACGUCUUGACGGUACCUAAUCAGAAAGCCACGGCUAACUACGUG
rnacentral:rRNA from 1 species